UUCAGCUCUCAAAACCAGAUAUUUCUAGGUAAAAACAGCGGGACAAAAGCUGGCCACAUGUGUACAAGAAAACCGGCUUCUCAAGAAAACCGCGGGAAACUGAAUCAUGAUUUACAUUAUAUUUUGCCACACCGGACAUGCCCCUUCAUUUAACAGGGCUUCCUAAGUUUUAGGCAUUUGUGGUUCUUUAUUAUCCUAAGAAUAACCAGGGCUGAAAACAAUAAGGCCAGAGGCUACAACAUAGUCAACGGAGAACUAGGCAUAACCUAUAAGAAAUCAAACCUUUCCAGGAUACUAUCAGGCUAGAAACCUCUUUAAGUUGGUUUCUUUAUGUAUAUUUAGAAUUAUAAACCCUUCAUGACUCACAGGUAAUUCGAUUCAAGUCAUAAGAUGACACCCCUUCAGCCACUCCGUUAUGUUUGCUUCUUAAGAAGGGAGGAGUUAGAUGUGCACAUAUUGCCCAGUAGUAUUUAAUCAGCGGCAACCUUCCAUAUAGCAGCAGCCAACAACAGAAUAUCCACCAGGCUGACAAAUUGUCAUGUAUCUGAUACUUCAAAAAUAAAGGUUAAAAACUGCACCCAGGAGUAAUACAAUAGGAUCCUUCAUGGAUAAUAUGACAAAAUGGGACAUCAGAGAUCAAAAUAAAUUAUGCAGUGAAUCUCAAUACACAACAGAGUUCAUCUUAUUUGUCUAGAGACUUUUUGACAGCUUCAAUAUCAAAACUUACUUUAAAUCUCACGCAAAUCUAAGAGAACAGCAGUUUCAAUAGUUUCAAUGCAAGAGCAAUUUUGGAAAAAUUCUAUACAAAUCUUGGACUCUAAGAAUUGUUCAAAGGCAAAUAGAAAAAUGGCAUUAAAGAAAGCUCUUCCCCAAAAACGAGCUGGAGAGCCAAUAGCAUCAACCUCAACAGAUGUGCAAGAAGAAGUGAAUGAAGACACUCCCCGGAAAAAGAAGUUACGAAGGGAACUAUUUGCGACAAAAUCCAGAAGUCGGGAAAAAACAAGAAAAAUAAAACUGUUAAGUCAUAAAGUAAGAAGGUAUAGAAAGAUUGUGAAAAAAGGUAUAGAUAGAAGAAAAUGUCCCUUUUAUUAAAUAAUAUGCCAAAAGUAACUACAAAAAAUAAGAAAUAUUCGUCUGAAUUGCGGAAAUUUGCAAUUACUAUAAGUUUUUUCCCCUAAGGGAUAUGAUUAAGAUAGAAGGGUUUUUGAUACAUGUUUACGCCAUCGAAGCACAAUUGGUAAAUAGUUUAGGAAUGUUGAUGCUGAACCAGAAUUUACAAAAGAAACAUUUCUAACAUUAAAAAACUAUGUACAGCUAUCUGAUAGGUCUGUUCUCCUUGCACUUGUUAUUGAUGACAUUUCUAUUAAAAAGCAAGUAGAAUAGGAUGGAAGAAAAUUUCAUGGGUAUGUUUAUUAUGGUGUUAAUUUCGAAGAUGAUCAGAAUGCACUAGGUAGAGAGGCAUUUGUUUUAAUGAUUGUAUCUAAAUGGAGCUUGGAAAUUGCCAGUAGGAUACUUUUUUGCAAAUGGAUUAUCCGGAAUGCAAAAAAGUUCUCUAGUGUCAGAAUGUGCAGAAUUAAUUCGAGAAAUAGUUGCUAAAGUCCUUUUAUUGACUUUCGAUGGUGCGCCAUCAAAUAUUUCAAUGGCAAAUAUUUUAGGUUGCUCAACGGAACUUAUAUAAUAAUAAUAAUCAUAAAAAUGUAUUUAUUUUUCUACGAUCCUUGCCAUAUGUUAAAAUUAGUUAGAAAUAUAUUAGGAGAGGAAAAACAUUUUAGCAGAUGUUCACAAAAAUCUAAUAAAAUGGCAGUUCAUAGAACAAUUAGAAAAUUAGCAAAACAGCGAAGGUUUGUAUUUAAGAAAUAAACUAAGAAAAGC